rnacentral:sRNA from 1 species
UGAUACCAGGGUCAAAAGCUCCAAAAGCCGUUCGUGCUUGCACGAUUAGGUUUGCAAAAACAUGAGGAUGCAGCGAUUUUCAAGGAAAAUCAGCGAAUCCGAAUGUUUUUAGAAUUGCGAAAGUUGCAUAGCAACGGAGCAAUUCGUGGAUACA